rnacentral:rRNA from 1 species
CCUACGGGUGGCAGCAGUGAGGAAUAUUGGUCAAUGGACGAGAGUCUGAACCAGCCAAGUAGCGUGAAGGAUGACUGCCCUAUGGGUUGUAAACUUCUUUUAUAUGGGAAUAAAAUGUUCCACGUGUGGGAUUUUGUAUGUACCAUAUGAAUAAGGAUCGGCUAACUCCGGGCCAGCAGCCGCGGUAAUACGGAGGAUCCGAGCGUUAUCCGGAUUUAUUGGGUUUAAAGGGAGCGUAGGUGGAUUGUUAAGGUAGGUGUGAAAGUUUGCGGCUCAACCGUAAAAUUGCAGUUGAAACUGGCAGUCUUGAGUACAGUAGAGGUGGGCGGAAGUCGUGGUGUAGCGGUGAAAUGCUUAGAUAUCACGAAGAACUCCGAUUGCGAAGGCAGUUCACUGGACUGCAACUGACACUGAGGCUCGAAAGUGUGGGUAUCAAACAGGAUUAGAUACCCUUGUAGUC